rnacentral:lncRNA from 1 species
UGAGCUGCUCUAAGCCCCGUACAGUAGAGGAUUGAUUCKCAUGGGAGGUAGGAUAUGCAUACAUAAGGCCUGUGUAAGUGUCUGCAGCAGUCAAUAUAUACUUUCGCCCCUGUGAGGGGGGUAACGGGCCUACAUAAUCUACCUGCCCGGUCGCAAAGGGUUGUUCGCCUCGCUUGAUGCGACCGUAUGUGCUGGUGAAAGGCACUUYUGUUAUCUUCAURCAAAYGGGACAGUUAGCACGGGCUGUCUUAUACCAAUGUAGGGCUAACAUGAGAUGGCCUCAUGAUAGAUCCCAAGCCUGAGCUGUGAUGGGGCCACGAUGCCCUGAUCGUUCWUGCGCUUGCCAAGCUUGCUUUAACUYUGAGGGAGUUGCCAUCUGGUCGACUGCUGUGUUAUGCUGAGUUUCGAGGGUCUGCUUCUGAUGGGCAUCGACAUGUUGCACAGACACAGAUUUAGUUUGCACAAUGUCCCAAAUCCUUUCCCACAAGGGGCUCCCCCAGAGUUCCUUAUCAUGUAUCUUCCACUGUGCAGCGGCCCAUGUUGGUAACCAGGUUCGCAGACCCUUGUAUACUACCCAGCUAUCCGAAUAGAGGUAGCGUGCAUCUCCCUCAUCGAGAGCUAUAGCUGCAGCCUUUAGUUCAGCCCACUGACUUGAGUAUCCCGUUCCUGAGGCAAAACAGAUAGUAUCCGUGGCAGGAUUAYAUGCUACAGAGCGCCACACUCGCUCUCCUGCCCAGGAAUACACUGCACUGCCAUCAGAAAACCAGGCCCACUCUCGUUGCUCAGGAGAUAACGUCUCAAAAAAAAAAAAAAAAAAAAAUUGGAGUCCAGAGAUUUGUCAGCAGCUAUUAUGAUGUAGAAGCAAUCCCAAAUUAGAAGAUUUUAAAGUAUAUCUGUAUGCACAUAAACUAGAGCAUUAUGCAAGUUAGGGAGAUAGCAUGAAUGUUCUUAAAUUUGGGAAAAUAGUGCUCUCUCCUGAGAUCAGCAGCUUCUGUUAUCGGAAAUAGAAAUCAAAAGAUUUUUGUAAUUAGUUUACCUCUCAGACACUAUGCUUUUUUGCAAUAGAUUCCUUUGGCUAUUCAUAAUAUUCUCCCUUUUUUAUGCGGUAUUAGGUUUUGGGUUUUUUUAAAUUGAGCUUUGUUAUAAUCCUAUGAAUUGUUAUCAAUGUUUCACAUACUGGAAAUGAGGACAGUACACUACAAAAACCCUUACAGAGUUCAAAAAAUUCUGAGUAUAAAUCUUGGUCUUAUUAGAGUCAAAUAAACUUUAUCUUUUCACUUUCA